rnacentral:rRNA from 1 species
UACGUAGGGUGCAAGCGUUGUCCGGAAUUAUUGGGCGUAAAGAGCUCGUAGGCGGUUUGUCACGUCGGAUGUGAAAACCCGGGGCUUAACCCCGGGCCUGCAUUCGAUACGGGCUGACUAGAGUUCGGCAGGGGAGACUGGAAUUCCAGGUGUAGCGGUGAAAUGCGUAGAUAUCUGGAGGAAUACCGGUGGCGAAGGCGGCAUCCUGGACCGGCAUUGACGCUGAACAGCGAAAGCUAGGGGAGCAAACGGG